UACGUAGGGGGGCAAGCGUUGUCCGGAAUCAUUGGGCGUAAAGCGCGUGUAGGCGGCUUCGUAAGUCCGUUGUGAAAGUCCAGGGCUCAACCCUGGAAUGCCGAUGGAUACUGCGGAGCUAGAGUCCGGAAGAGGCGAGUGGAAUUCCUGGUGUAGCGGUGAAAUGCGCAGAUAUCAGGAGGAACACCAAUGGCGAAGGCAGCUCGCUGGGACGGUACUGACGCUGAGACGCGAAAGCGUGGGGGAGCAAACAGG
rnacentral:rRNA from 1 species